rnacentral:tRNA from 1 species
GGCGGUGUAGCUCAAUGGCGGAGCAGCGAGCUCAUAACUCGAAGGUCGAAGGUUCGAUUCCUUCCACCGCUACCA